UACGGAGGAUGCGAGCGUUAUCCGGAUUUAUUGGGUUUAAAGGGUGCGUAGGCGGUUUUUUAAGUUAGUGGUUAAACGUCGGGGCUUCACCUUGAUUUGCCAUUAAUACUGUAAGACUCGAGUUCAGACGAGGUAGGCGGAAUAAGUUAAGUAGCGGUGAAAUGCUUAGAUAUCAUGAAGAACUCCGAUCGCGAAGGCAAGUGUCCGGGGUGCAACUGACGCUGAGGCUCGAAAGUGCGGGUAUCAAACAGG
rnacentral:rRNA from 1 species